rnacentral:rRNA from 1 species
CAAUAGCGUAUAUUAAAGUUGUUGCGGUUAAAAAGCUCGUAGUUGGAUUUCUGUUGGGAACGACCGGUCCGCCCAUUGGGUGUGUAUCUGGCUUGUUCUCGGCAUCUUCUUGGUGAACGUUGCUGCACUUGACUGUGUGGAGCGCUACCCAGGACUUUUACUUUGAGGAAAUUAGAGUGUUUCAAGCAGGCAUAUGCCUUGAAUACAUUAGCAUGGAAUAAUAAGAUAGGACCUCGGUUCUAUUUUGUUGGUUUCUAGAGCUGAGGUAAUGAUUAAUAGGGAUAGUUGGGGGCAUUCGUAUUUAACUGUCAGAGGUGAAAUACUUGGAUUUGUUAAAGACGGACUACUGCGAAAGCAUUUGCCAAGGAUGUUUUCAUUGA